rnacentral:rRNA from 1 species
GACGAACGCUGGCGGCGUGCUUAACACAUGCAAGUCGAACGGAAAGGCCCUGCUUUUGUGGGGUGCUCGAGUGGCGAACGGGUGAGUAACACGUGAGUAACCUGCCCUUGACUUUGGGAUAACUUCAGGAAACUGGGGCUAAUACAGCAUAGGAGCUCCUGCUCCAUGGUGGGGGUUGGAAAGUUUCGGCGGUUGGGGAUGGACUCGAGGCUUAUGCGCUUGUUGGUGGGGUAGUGGAUUACCAAGGCUUUGACGGGUAGCCGGCCUGAGAGGGUGACCGGCGACAUGAGGACUGCGAGACGGAGCAGACGCCUACGGGAGGCAGCAGUGGGGAAUAUGGCACAAUGGGCGGAAGCCUGAGGCAGCAAUGCCGCGUGCGGGAUGCCGGCUUUCGGGGUGUAAACAGCUGUCGCCGGUGACGAAGCGUGAGUGACGGUAAUGGGUCAAGAAGCACCGGCUAACUACGUG